AACCUCACCUGAGGCGCAGCAGUGAGCGCAUUGUUGGAAUUAGGAGCCUCUCCUACACCACGCACACAGUGCGAGGGGCUGGAUUUUGGGAGGAGACACCAGGCAGCUCUUAAAAAAUGCCUCCAAGGAAGGCAGGAAAGGAGCGACUGAGGAGGAGGGGAGGAGGUGAGAGUUGGCUGAUGUAGGGAUGAGCUCCCCAAAAACCCAGAUAACAGAGCACAGGAAAAUGUGUCAUUGUUCAAUUAGACAGGAAAGAGAUCCAAGUAAAGGGAUAUUCCGUAUAGAGAAUAUGCCUUUAAGGUCUCAGUGGUGGAAUCAAUCACUGUAAUGACUGUGGGAUAGAUUCUUAAUGAUGAUGAAGUAAAUACUAUACACCGUAUUGAAGAAUGGAGGCUAUUUCAGAGGGAAUUAUUGUUGUACUCUUGGGGAAAAGGAAAAAACCCUCACAGAGGAAUCAUCUAAGAAAUCCUGCAGAACAUACAUUCAUUUUUCAACAAAGAAAUUGCUAAAACAUUUAUUUAAGGAUUAAUCUAUUAUUGGUUUUACUUAAUUAGAUAUUUACACCACUUUAGUGCAAAAGGAGCUGCUCAGCACUCUGUGUCAAAUCACAUGACUCCCCCCAGAGUACCCCAGUCUCUCAGGCUAUUUUCCCACAUGUUUAAUUUCGUUAAGUGACGCAAACUGAUGUCAAUACUGGUCUGUACCACUUACCUUGAAUACCUCGUUUGGACAGCAGACAAAGACACGGCUUUGCUUAUAUGACAUAAUACGGGCGGUGCACUUUGUACCCCUAAGCCGGGUCAUUUCAAUAGAGAGAAAGCCACUGAGUCAGCUCGGCGAGACAAUGUCGAUAAGGUAAUGGCAUGAAUCAAUAGCAAAGAUUUGGGCCAGAUCUUAAUUAAAGAAACAACUGCUGAUACAAAUGAUGUUUUCAAUGUAUUGAUACAGCGGGGGAGGGGGAGGGCGGGCUGUAGCGGAGCAGCUGAUCAAUGUACUUAACAUUAGCAUUCCUUUUCAUCAUGUACCAAGAUCACUUAAUUCUCCCUCUCCUCCUCUUGUUCUAGCACUCUGUCACUCCCUCCCUUUCUCCAGGACCAUCUAAGGCAACCUGCAUCCCCCUCCCCCCAUCUUCCUUACAAGGUGAACUUGAAGGUCUGCAAGGUUGUGCUUUUAUGUGUCUCAACUUCGUGUGGUCAUAGUGUGUUAAACUGGAGAAAAAUCAAAGAUCCUGUUAAGAACAACUACAGGAUUCUGGCAUCAAGUGUAUGAAAAUCAAUUGUCUUUCACAGAGAGAAAUACACGCCUUCAAUCACACAAUGCUAAUCUUUGAAGGAAAAAAGCCAUUCCUCUGUAUUCAAUGUACAGGUUAAUGAUGUCAAAUCUUUGAGAGGGGAUUUCUGGAUUACUCAUACGGAAUUCUAUCUUUUCUUUGUAUUCCUCCCUCGUGUAUUGUUCUUUCGGAGAACAGGUUGAAAGCAGGAGCUUGUCAUGACUUAGAAAAAUGAACAAAAAACAAACCCCCACAUUGUAAAUUUCUUAUGCAAAGAACAACACAACAAGAGAGAGUCUCUGUUGUCUCCAGGCAACGUCGGAAAAAUAAAUAAAUAAAAACCUUCAGACGCUGUAGCCUCUUGUGUAUGGUAAAACAAUAAUUAUUAAAAGGGAAGCUGAAUUGAUGGAUCCCAUUAAAGCUAACACAAAGUCUCCAGAGGCCUCGCAGCACAAACAGUCCAAAGUCAAUAGUGUGAUUCCCCAGGUAUCCCUGACCAGGACCCAGUUUAAAGAGACAUCAAUCUGGGAUGUCAGUUCCCAGCUAAUGAAGCUACAGCCGAUCAAUAUUCAGGAUGCUACUACUACCGUAAAUGAAGUACUAAUGCUUGUAGAGAUCGCACCAUAUGGGCUUACCGCUGAGAAGUUUGGUCAGAGCAGGGCACGCCAGUUCUAUGUAAGAAGCAUUACAAUAAAGCAUUUGGCUCACUAUAUAAAAACAAGAAAAAAUAGCAUUUACAUUUUGCUGUAAAAUGAUCUCUAAUAAGCGUUGGCACAGAAACCUCAGGCUUUUUAAAAAAUACGUUCCAUUGAAAAAGUGAGAGAAACAUUACUCCAUCUUUAUAUAGGCCUACAUACUGUAACUCAGUUAACUAUCCACGUCAAAAAUAUAUUUAAAGAUCAAUUCAGGGUAAAAAACAGUAAUUUCUGAGUCAUAUUAAAUCAACUCGAACUUAAUAAUGGAAUUAAGUUUGCUCAUAAGUUAAGUUUACUUUGGGAAUAAUAAUGACAGUUGUAAAGCACACAAUACAAACUGGGUAAAUAACCAUUAGGAAGAGAUAUUAAACUUUCCAGGAAGGUUGUAUUCUUUAUAAACGAUGUAGCAUUUACAGGCCAAAUAUUGAGGGGCAAGAUGUCAGUAUUCAGCAUGUAUCCGUGUCUCUCUUUCUGGAUGAUUUCAAGAGCGUGAUGACAUUUUGAAUUAAAGAUAUCAUUGACAGGGAGCUGCACCUUGAAAAUGCUAAAACUCAAGUUUACAGUCAAGAUUAUUUGGUGUGAUCCAAAAUGUUAACCGAAAGGUACAUGCAGCAAACUAAGACAUUUCUUGACAAUAACAAGCUCAGUUUUGUCUCAGUUGUGAAAUGUGUUUUACAAAGCCGAUUUUUUUUUUCCCACAAAGUGAACCAUUAAUGCAAAAAGCUAUUAUUUCACAAAUGUAUAUCAGAGUAUGCUUCACCACCCUCUCAAUAAAAGAGCUGUUAUCAGGGUGAAAUAAAACUAUGAAACUCAUAGUGAUGUUCUGAGGUGAAAUCUUGAAUAGAACUAUAGUACAUGAUAACUGUCUCCCAUCAUUUAUACACCUUAUCACUCUGGGAUUCUUCAUUUUAGUUUUAAAACCAAAAGGGUAUACCUUAACAGCAAGCUUAGCUUUCCCUCAGUAGUUAAAGAUAUAAAUCUAUCCAUGAAAUGGUCACAUCAAAGUUAAUCAGUUGAUCAAUUGAACAAUGAAUCUUUUUGUCCUUCUUAGAAAUUUCAAGCAUGUUUACACAAAAGAAAUGUAGGUUUUAGCUCUGUAACACAAGCUGCAGAUCAGAAACGUGAAGAUUUGAGCUGUAUUUUUCCUUGGCAUUCUCAGACCUUUGCAAAUUCUUGUAAACAUUUCCACCCACGUGUCUGACCACUUAGGGUGAAAAACUGAAUACAGGUUAUAAGCAAAUAAAUAAUGUAUAAUUGGGGGCCUUGUUAUCCUUUUGUGACAUGCACACUCUAUCCAAAAGCUCUGAUUUUUUUUUAUUCCACAGUCUUAUUUGAACCUUUUCCUCUGAUUCUUUUAUUUUAUGCAUCACAUGUUAAUGCUACUGAAAGUUUUAUCACUCCCUUCCAUUAUCCUAAUGCAUGUGAUACGUGAAAGCUCCUUAAAUCAUGUAUUAGGGCAUUGUGCUAUGUAAAACAGACAGUGAAUUAGACUAUUUUGGGGGAUAACAAGGGCAUUUGCCUUUGAACUCAGCAGAUGCUUUUAAAAAGAGACAGCAGGAAAGGUGUUUGUACUGAUGUGAUUUUCAGAUGGUGCUUCUUUGUUUUUCACCUCAAUCAGUACUCAUCUCACCCAUUUAUAACUACUUCUAAAUAUAUGUUCAUUUAUGUCACUUUAACCAGAUGAUUCAUUAAAGUCAAAUAUAAAGUCCUUAUUUGGAAUAUCAUUUGAAAAAGUAGAUGUAAUUGUAAAAACACCAUCGAACAAACCUGCUUGAUUCUUGGCCUUCGUUGUGUAACAAUUGGGGGCUUUGGAUUAAGCCAAGGUUCAGCUAUAAUGCUUUUAGCGAUAAAUCGUUUCUUAGGCCAUUCUGUGUUCAAGCAUUAUUCUGUUUCCCUCUUUAUUUUGUCAGUAGACUAGCAUCUUAGGACAGUCCAAGGAAAUAUAUGGUUCACUACCAAGCAACAAUCCCUCCAACUUUGAUUGGCGGUAUUACAAAGUAAGACAGAAAAGGAAACUUUUAUCCUUACUUUACAUUUAGUAACAUCCAUAUGGAGCUAACUGCGAUAACCCACUUUGUCUGAGAUUACAAUCUGUAUUUCUGGUUGCCAUUUCCCCUUCAUAUCCAAAAUAUUAGCUGUUAGUUCUGCCUGUAGUAACUUGUAAAUGUGUGAUAUUAUCCUUCUUGUCACUGUUAAUAUGAGGAAAUUCUCUAUAUCGGAUGGUGAAGUAUUCUUCUGUUAAUAGUGUCCAAGCUGUAGGUAUCUGAAUAAGUCAUAGGUGGUGGUUGUAUUCAUGCUGAACCUGUUAGAAGGACUUCAGGCUUCCCCCAUCAAACAACAAACAAAAGAUAAUUUCUCCCAAUGAUGAUUGAUUUUGAAUAGUACUUAUAGUUUAGUUGGAAUAAAGUCAAAGUAUAGGCAAUCUUUACUGCUCUAGAUAUUAAUAUGACUUGUCUUAAAGGUGCAGUGCCAAGUAUUUAACUGAGAUGGGUAUAGCCAAUCCAAAGUUAGCAAUAGUAACAGCUGAUCCACAAAUUCUGUUCAAAAUGAGCAGAAUGAUGUAAACUUUAAGACCUGUUGAAAGCCUUAAGUUACGAACAGACUUAGUAGAAAUAGAAUAUUGUGUUCAUAGGGAUGGAUCAGUGGAUAUCCAAAUAUAGAAAUGGGCUAGUUUUUUUUUUUUUUUACUAAGAAUGAGUCUUUUUAUCUACAAAAUUCAACAACUGACAGAAGAAAAGCAAGGGGGUGUUUCAGAGUAGAAUCUGCGCUCUAGAAAUAUAAAUAAAUAUUUAUAAAAAUUAUAAUAAAUAUUUCCAUUUCUAUACACCGUAGCCUACUUUUAGUUUUGACUAUUUUAAUAUGUUUUUUUAACUGUUUUUUUUUUUUAAUCAACUUUUAGGGAGAAACAAAAGUAAAUGUAGCUCAAAACUAGAGCAGCUCCCAUGCAUUAGGAUGUCUUUCUCGCAUUAUCUGCGAAAGGCAAAUUGGUCAUGGGCUGGUGACUGAUAACCAUUUCCUUUAUUGCUUUUUAUGAGCCAAGAAAAACUAGCAUGACACUUUGACUAUUUUGAAAUAAACAAAUAACUGAUUUGUUUGUCAGCUAAUCAAUUUAUAUAGGAUUCAUACAUCAUGACAAAGACCCUUUAAGAGCUCGUAGAAAGACAUUACAGCCAGCUUAUAAAGCUGACUAUGCCGACAGCGAAACAAGAAACAACUCUCAUCCACACUUUUCCUCUGACUGAAUAUUCUGUACUGAGAAACAAUAUAACAAGAUUAAAGCAUCCACAACUGUUUUCAAAUCAUAUGAGCUACACCACACUAAAGCUGUGAAGGCAGUGCAGUGGAUGUAGCAGCUCAAUCAUUACCAGUUAAUAAGGGCGCUAGGUGUGCUAGAGGAUUGAGUGACACCCUAAUACUGAAAUAAUUUCCACUUUUUCUCCACCUUCCCUCUCACAGGCAGGGAAUUAGUAUUAUCACAUCAAAGGCUUCCGUUAAAAUGGGUAUAAAAAUCAUUUAAACAGACAGUAGCAGUGAUUAUUCAAACUAGGUUAUUUGCCAGGGUGCGUAUGUAAUAUGGUGCGCACGACAACUUCAUUUCCCGCUAAAUUGCUGUCUGUCACCAGAAUAAGUAAAUUUGCCACUGUUUUAUCAGCAUCAUUGUGUCAAGUUAGGGGGAUACAUCAAACAGUCAAUCUGAUCAACAGGAAAUGAACACACAGUGAAUAAUGCAAUGACUGAAAGGAGAGCGGAUUGGUCUGCUGAUGUGCUGAAUGUAAAUUUCCCCUGUGAUUUUUUUUUUCUUUUUCUUUAAAGCAUAAAAUACUCUCGUCUUCCACUGAGAUGUUGGCUUAUCAUGACUCUGACUGUAUUUAUUACCUGGUACCUCUGUGGGCUGACAGAUAAAUUGGAAAUUGAUAAUCAGUCUGAGCCUAAAUGUGCACUAACAUACAGGGGAAAGCAAGUUUGAAUAAAUGGUAAGUUGGCUUUUUGCAAGUAUGAUGCAGUGACCUCAAGUAGCAUUUCUGAUGCCAAAGUAAGCGUUUAACACACACUAGGGUGUUAUAGUAUGAAAUUUAACAGCUUAACCUCUAACCAAAUGUUAUUUCUCAUGAAAAAUCGGUUGCAAAGAAAAUUUCUAAUCUGAAAAUCUUCAAAUUCACUAUCCACAGUGGAUAUUUUUAUUAACCCAUUAUGUAUUUCCCUUGCUGUACUUGCAGUGAGUAACCCAAAAGGUAAACCCUUUAUUUACUCAAGAAAAUUUUCAUUCAGUUGUAGGUGCUCUGACACAGGGAACAUAUAGUCCUUAGUAUAUGAUAUGUAGGUGGUUUUCUAUAACUCUGUUGUUGAUUUUACCCUUACUUCCUGUUAGGGUCAAAUUUGACUCAUUUUUGAGAUUUGAUUGGAAAAAUAUAUCCUUUAAGUAAUUGAUUUAGGCUAGAAUGAUGAUUUUUCCUUAAGUGACCCACAUUCACAGAAUUAUUAUGUAACUAUAUCAUAAUAAUUUAUCAUUUUGGUAUAUGAGCUACAAUUUUUUUUAGCUGUAUAUAUAAAAAUAGAGAUGAAAAAUAUAAAAACAAAAGAUCAAAGGUAUAGUAGCCUCUUUCUUUCUCACACAAAACCAAAAUUCCAACUAAAACAGAUAUCACUAGAAAAACUCAUUUCAACACCCGAUUUUCCUAAUAACGUCAAAGCCCUUUAAAUUUCAUUGAGCUGCCGUUAAAAGUCAUUGUUUUCAGCUUAAUGUUUGCAACACAGUUCAAAUUGAACUGUCUUAAAUAAAAAUGACUUGCAAAUAUGCAGAAAGAGACAGUACUUGAGUAAUCCCAAAAUGGCCUGAAAAAGCACAUUAUGCUUUACCUUUAUAGUUAAACAGGUCAGUUUAAUCUUCACAGAUUAUUUAAACUUUUCUUUGUUUUUGUUUUUUUUUUGGUCAGCUUUUCUUUGCUUAAUCUCCAACAGAUAAAUAUAAGCUCAGUGUAAUCGAUAUUGAGAGAGAGAGAGAUAGAGAGAGAGAUCUUGCUGAAGGACUGGACAAGAAAGAAACACAGGGAAGAAGAAGCAGAGUCAGAAAAAGAGGGGAAAAAACAGAUAAUGGAGUUUGGAGCUCUUUUGUGGAGCUGAUAUUGUCUCUUAGUUUGAUGUUUGCCUGCAGGAUAAAAAGCUCUCCUCUGGAGUAACAAUAUACACCAAAAUAAAGAAUUGAGCUUGAAAGAAAAAGGGACAACAGCAAUAACAGAACAAUGGUGCACAAUGGCAGGUAUUUAACUGCCUGAGGAGAAGAGGGAUGGGUUUACGGUCAUGUCUCCCAGAAUAACGCCUCACAACUAAGGUCACAAGAAAUGUUUCCUGGCUUUUCAAAACCUGCCCAGAUUCAUUAUAUUUGGAGGGGAUCAGGCCAGAGAUUCAUGAACGGCGGUUUAACCCGCCCAAUUAGUCAAAGUCCCUCUGAGGCAUUCUCCCUCUCAUGUUGAUACAUGAGGCUACGGUGACAAACCGGCCCCGGGGUCAGGUGAUCCAACUCCAAAGUGAGUUCAAAGCACUCUUGUCAAACUUGGAACACAAUGCUGUGCUGCCGAGGGUAUAGGUGCACCCUGAACAGGCAGCAACAGUGAGACGCUGUAUUAAAACACCUGAAGACUAUGGUGGAACAUGGAUGAGGGCAUCAUAUCAUCACUGUCCUCCAUGUUUAACUGACAAGAUGAUUGUAUGACAGUGAUUAGACAUGAAAGGUUAAUCUCACGCAGCAGAGCUUCAAGAAAAAAGCUUUCAUUCUGCACAGUAAAAUAUUUGGGGAAGGAGUUACCAGUUACCCUGUACCACAUUAAUGGCAACUGGGACAAUAAUUGACUCUACUGGAGUAAUGUUAAUGACAAUACUAAGCUAUGAUGCUCACAAAGGUUACUCAGGGGCUCUAGCAGACUUUUUUGAUUGAGGUGGCCCAAGUUGAGCACUGAUAUAUGUCAAAGUGGCACAAAGUAUGUAUGCAACCAUGAAUUGAGACAUGUUUUUUGCCUUUAUUUACUCGAAAAAUCUAGAACGGUUGUGCAUCUGUUUUGUAAAAUAAAUGUGCAAAGUGUCUUUUAUACAGUUUAAAGUGCCAUCAUAGAUAACAGUGCAUAAGUGCAGAGAAACCACCAGUCAGCUUUUGCAACAGAGCCCAAAUAGUUAGUUUUAACACAAGUCUGUAUGACCAGACAAACAGGCAAUAAUGAUUUAAAACUUUUGGCUUGGCCAAUCAGAUCUCAAGUGGGGGGGCCUGUCACCCUGACCAUUUGAACGUACACAUCUGGCUCCAGCUGAUUGGUGUUGUAAAAUGUUAAACAUGUACAAGCACAUAAAGUUGCUCAUCUUGUGAGAUCUCUGUUUUCCACCCGCUCUUCAGCCCUACAAGCUGUAGUCUGUAUUAUUCUUUUUUAUGUUUAAGAAAUAUGACAUUCAUUUAGCUGAAUAACUACUGCAACCUAAUAUGAUUGGACAAUAUUUAGACUAAUGCACAGCUUUCAAUGCUGCAUAAAGAGAAAUGUGACAAUCAAAGCAUUCCUCUUAAAACCUAAAACAGUCCUGAUAUGUUCAUUCUCUCUCUGUGCUGGCUGUGGAGUAGAUCUUACCUUAAAAUUGAGGGAGUAGUUAUUGUACAAAACCAGAAAAGAUGCAGGUUUUGACUCUUUUUUUUUGUUUGUUUGCUACAGACAAGCUUGUCCUUUUUCCGUCAAUUGACUAACUUUGUUGAUUUUAAGUAUGACAACACUUUUCUUACCUUGUGGCCUAAAUUUGCUUUUUUUUCUUUUUGAAAAACACCUAAAACUGAUCAUUCGUGCUAUUUAGCAAAGACAACCUAAAGGUGCACAUAACUGUCAGCUAGCAUAAAGCUAUUUUCUUUCAUCUCCUGUAGCAGAGGAUAAACAAUCCCUCACUUCCAGAGAGGCUGGCUUCAGUCCAGUUAAGAUUUUUUAUUUUUUUUUUUGCCUUCAUGACUGUCUAAUAGAGUCGUCAGGAGAGUGGAAAUUUUUGCCAUUUAAAACUACCUUUUGUUUAUCUGUAUCUCAAAAGCUUUCUACUCAUCAGCAAGUAAUUUCAGACUGUUCCAAGAUGAUAGGUUAGUGAAUAAGGAAACAUCGCCUGAAGCAAAUAAAGAAAGUGGUGGAAAAAGGGAAAAUAAAUAUAUAAAUAUAUAAGGGGCGCGGUGAAGAAUGCAAGGAAGAUAAAUAAGACAGAUACUUUGUUUCAUUGUCAGUGGCACUCCGGGGUUAUUUGAAGCACUUAUUUAUGCACUGUAAGCAGAACAAUACCGGCGAGCAGAAAUGAUUAAAUACAGACUCUUCAAGCAAUAGACAUCUCAUUGUGGUGGGCCCCGGCUUGCCACUGGGCCAGCUUGAUAAAAGCACUAUGAGCUGAUAGCUGAUACAAUUUGCCAGCCGAUUUGAAUGGAAGCGGCUGGGAGGAAGGGGCUGCGGCUCAGUUGGUCUGUCGCUGACAGCCUGUAUAAGCUAUAAUAAAAUCAUUAGAAUGUAAAUGCUUUAUUGCAAAAUAAGAGCCUCAAGCUAGGGUGACAUUAUCUGCCGCCACCCGAAUGAAAGCGCCGAUUAGCAUUCCCUGAUUCAAUGAUAGAGGCAACUUAUCUUUAUUAAAAUUUUUCAAAUCGAGUCUUCAUUUUUGCGUGAUUGAGUUUUAAGCAAAUGUAAUAUCCAGUUCAGUUUGUGUGUGAAACGGGUGGAGGGGCGAGGGAGGGGAGCGGGAUGCCCCAGAAAUAAUUAGUGUACACAUUUCUUCCCUACAUGUGUUUCAUAACCAACAAAUUGGAUUUCUUAUUUGACGUGUCACUAUCUAAUACAUUUGCAUGAAAAUAUGGGGCCGAGUUUACAGAAUAAUUACUGAAAGUGUACACCUCUUUAACAUGUGUCUCAUAAAAAAUGAAAUUUGAUUUGUUUGAAUGUGACUAUCACCGUGUUGCCAAAUAAUUGUCGGGGAAUAUGAGGGUGAGGCUGUGACUUGAUUUAGAUGUUCAUAUUCGUGACACGCACACAUUUUCAGCUGAGUCUUUAAGCGGGCCAUUGCUUAGUAGGCAGACAGUCAAUUCUUAUGCAAAUAGCCUGUGACUGAGUAUGGGGUAUAAUAUGCUGUAGAUCAAAUGUCACACUGGGAGUAAGAGCCUGUGUGAUAUAAAAAUGGCUGACUUACACAUUGUUCUGUAAUAUAUGCUUCCUAAUGUGAUAUUCCUGUUUAAUCUUUUAGAUGUAAUUCCCCUAAAAGUACAGUAGUAGAGGAAUGCUGCAGACAUACAAGACAUCCUCUAUACAGCUGGCGAAUGUAUCCGGUGCCUUUUGGAACUUCUAUCCUCAACUCUGACUUCUCCUCUUCAACAUUUGAAGAUCUUGUUUUGGUGACAAAGUCUUCAAAUCAGUCACAAGGUGUGGAGGAAUUUUUUUUUUUUUUUUUUUUUGCAUAAAACAAGGGACAAAUGGUUUCAAGUGUAGAAUAGUUUUCUGCUUUGUGGAUAUUUUCCACAAUUUUCAAUAUCACAUAUAAAUUAAAAAGUAGGGAAAAUGUACAUUUUUGAUUUGUAAAAAGUUUCAGGAGUGAAAAGAUGUCUAUAAAAGGUACAUAAACAUUUACAUGCAUUAAUGCAAAAAGGAAAUUUGUUAGCAAUCUUGCAUCAUGUGUACAUGAAAAGGUAUAGAGGGGAUUUUGAAGGAAAACAAAGGCAGGAAAGACGCAGAUUGUCAAUCCAAUAAAUACAAAUUUAAAUGAUACUUGCCAAUAAUUACUGAAAGAAGAUUGGAUAAAUUAAUUUUAAAGUUCAUGUGUGCUCUUUGGAUUUUUGCCUUUUCUGUCUUAAAAUGUCUUUAAAGCCUUUUGAAUAAGUGUAUUUCUUCUAAUAUUUAGCUAUAAUGAAUGAAUCCUGAAUAAUACCAUCAAAACUCUAAUUUUAAUAUUCAAGCAACCAUCUUUGAAAUCACACUUCUUGUGAAAUCUUAUAUUUAAAAACUGUCUCCUCAGAGAAAGACCCUCAUGUUGUCCAACUGUUUAUCCCCCCUGAACUUGUAGACAUGUCUCAUGGGUUCCUCGAAACCAUGCCUCGCUUUAACCAUCAGCCUUGCGCUGAAGAACACAGACACAGCCCAACGCUAACAGACCCAACAAGAUGCCCUCCACACUGACAAGACAAUGUGUUGCAUUCAAUAGCAGUCAAUGUCAAGGGUUUUCACACAGAACAUCCAUCCAGAACAUGCGUGCCUGUGCAGUAGUAUUGUUAAGAGCUCAGGGUAGUCCCACACAAUGCAGUUGUUAUGGUGCACCCAGAGGAUUUGCAGUGGAGUUCAUGUGCCCCCUCUUAUAGGAAUCACUGGGUCAUACAUCUUGUGGAGUAAAUUCAAAAUCCCACACCUCUGCCCUAUUCAUCGAAGACAAAAAGAGGGGGGACACAAAUUGGUCCGAAAACACAGUGUAAAAAGAAAAGCUUACAUUAAGCUCAAGGGGACUCAAGGGACCGGGACCAAUCGUUGCAUGAGAAGAAGAAUGGUGGCGGAGCUGGGGACAGGGCACUAGUAGAUAAAUCACUGCCAUCAUGCAGAUUUACUGUGUUGGAGUGAAAAGAUAAAUGUGUAAAAGAGGUGUGUGUCAGAACCCGCGGUGCAGGGCCACACAGUAAUGCUGGGUCAGUAAUUGAACUUUGCUAUAAUUAUCCUGAGGAGAUAAUAUUAACUUAUAGUCUUUGCGUGAGAAAGAAGCUGGCCCAUAAUUCAUUUGCUGGAUAGGGAGAUGCUACUGGAUGAGUCCCACUGUCCCUCCUCUCUUUCUCUCUCUCUCUCUCUCUCUCUCAGUCUUUCUCCCUCCGCCUGCAUUGUGUUACUGAAAUAUGACGGCUCCAUUUUUAUCCUGUCACAAUGACAACUGAUGGGCUUAUUUUCCUGUGGCCCCGGGGGAUGAUGAAAUAGUAAGCAAACAUUCUUUCUCAGGGGGAGAGGGGUGCUCCAUCAUAGUGGCUGGGGCCGCCACUGCUGCUUGUGUUGUGUGGCAAUAACAGGAGGUUAUGGGACACAAUACACUUGGCCUCCUCCUCUCAAUACCGAGGGCCUGUGUGAUACACUGGCGAGGUUUCUUUUAGUGUCGCUUUGUGCACUUCAAACACUGACUUCUCUUCGUAAAGCACUCUCAGAUUAGUGAGUUUAACAUUUUUUCUUUGAAUUUUGCUGUCAGUAGCGUGUUUAAAUAGUCAUAUGUCAUAUCUAGCCUCUGAAUAAUGGCUGCUAAAUCAUUUCCGUGCCUAUUUGCGGCUCAACACGUGUUCCAACAGAUCAACAUUACUCUCAGAUUGCUUUUCUAUUUCACUAACUCCUUGUAAAUUAGCAAGGUGUCAUUUUCCCCUGUUAAAAUUGAUGUCAUAGCAAACACUAGCUGAUUUAUAGACAGGCAUCUUGUAAAAACCUGACACCCAAGGGCCCAUUAUUUACACCAAGAAACCCUCCCUCAGCCGCCCGCCACUGCAAGCGAAGGUACCAGGGCAAGGUUGCGACAUUUACAAUAGGUCAAAAUAACACUGCCACUCGCCUCUCGCUGUCUGACAAUAUCCCAUUCAUCUCAUUUGAAUAACGAGCCAUAUUGAUGGACAUUAGUGGAGAAUGAGGCUGCAGGCACCUGAGGGAGCUCAACACUGUCAGCUCCUAUUUUCCCCGCCAGUUUGUUAACAGACUGUGUGAAGCAGCGGCAGCAAUAACACUGAUAAGAGCAUUCCUCCAGCCGUGCCGCCACCGCCACCGCCGCCGCUGCUGCUGCUACUCCAGAGUAAACACCAUCAGACCCCAGUUUAUCACUGUGCUAACUGGAUUUAGACAAAGAGCUACAACAGCAGCUCGAGCAGAUAUCCAAUGACGACAAUCAAACAUUAUAACGGCUCUCAUUGUGUGCACAGUCAUUUCCUUUAUUGAUAUUCAAAGGCGUUAUUUUGAAUUAUAAAUACUCUAAUCCUCAUUACUCCAUCGCUCCGUUGGUGGGAUAUAACCGCCUGCUGGAACACCCACCUUGGUGUCUUGUCAAGUCACAGCCAGCGGGGGCUUUUGUCUGCGUUCUCUAAAGAGAAAUGACAGUGUAAUGUGAUUUACAGGCGAUCGCUUCAGCUCAAUUAAAUUAAGUCCCCAAUAAUCCGUGAUGAAUGCACACCUACGCCAGUCAUUAGGAUUCAAAACAAAAUAUGGGCUUAUCAUAUCAAGGCACCAUGGAGGGGAAACACACCCUUUAAUAGAUGUGCUGAUUCAUUUAGUCAUUUAUAUCACAGUGUGUAAUGCGUCCAAUGUCUGCUGGCUGCUAAUGACGAGUGAGCCUCUCAAGAUGACGGUUUCCCAAAUCCAAAGGAACAAAAAAGAAAAAAACAGACUGGGAGGCAAACCGCAAGCACAGAGAACAGACAGCAUGUUGAAAAGCAAGUUUAAUUCAAGGGAUUUAUUUUCAAAUUUAAUUUAAAACUGGAGAACAUUUAAGCAUUUAGAUAAUCCUAAAUGUUGAGAAAAAUUGAAAGAUGUAGCAAACGAAGAUUUGGCAAUUUUCAGUUUUUGGUUGUAUGCUGAGAGCGAGCUCAUUUCUAACAUGGCAAAAAAAAGGAAGAAACCAGGGGGCCAGUCAGCGGAUGCCCAGCCACUACAUUUUGAUUGACAGUGUCAUAUUUGUAAGAGGGUUAUGAACCACAAAACAAGGGUUAAAGGGAAAUUGACCCAGCAGUUGACGGGUGACUGAUACAUUGAGCUGGAGGUCUUUAAUCUUGCUGCUGAGCUUACAUGAAGCUUAUAUAACAAAUUACAAUGCCUACAGGGUAAUACAUCACCUGAUGGAUCUCCUUCUGCUCCUCUGUCUUCUCCUUUUCUGCCCAUGAGAGAGCUGCUAGAUUCACUAGAAUAUAGGUUACAGGUACUGAGAGCUCUCUGAAUAUGAUCAAGACAAAUGAUCUGCCAGGUGGAGACUAAAUUGUAAAGAAGUAUUUAGAGAUCUAAUAUUACUUUAAAGAAGUUAUACCCAGUUAUAUGAGACUCAUUAAUACAAAAAUACAUGCCUUUAGGAAUACCUAUUGUUAUCUUUUUGAUAACGACAGACAUGCAUUGACAUAAUAUUCAUUUAAAACAAGUGUUUUAAACCUUAAUCUGUAACCCUCCAAACUCUUUACCCCCUUCUCUUCAUCACAGUCAUUAUUUCAUGCUCUUUUAUUCAUUUUUACGAAGAAUAUUUGGAAUUUAAAUCCAGUAUUUAAUGUGAGGGACCUAUUUUUCUCCAUUUCCUCUUGUGUUAUUUAAUGUGGAGAUGUAUUCCGAAAAUAUUAUGAUAAAUCAAAUAUAAUAAAUACUUGCAGGAGUAUCUAGCAUAUAUUUACUUCUGCUAUCUCACCAAACAUGAACCGCUAACAUUAAGGUUUUAAAAUAAAUGCUAUGUUCCUGUGUAUUUUUUUAUUUACUUGGGGAAGUAACACAACAGUAGUAAUGUUUAAACCUCCUCAGUUUUGAUCUUUAAAGCUCCUGUGUGAAAUUUUCUGUUUGUGUUGUUAUUGGCGCCCCCUGUAGAUCUCAUAUUUCUUUACUUACUUUCUGCUUAUUUUUAUGUUAGUCAUUUUUCUGACAAGGAAAACAAAAAUCUCAUCAAGCUUUCUUUUGACAGUCAUCUGCAUCACUAACUGUGAAUCUUUGCUUGGAAACAAACUGAAAAAAAGGUGUCUCAUUUCAUUAGCAUGCUGUUGAUCUCUGAAUCUGACCCUACCCCCUUCACAUGUUACAGGCAUGACGUACAACAAUGAAGAAAUUAGCUAUGUUGAUUUCAGUAUGUUUCAUAACCAGUUUAAAUUCCUUACAGGAGCUUUAAGCCCCGACAAAGGCAUAUUUGUCUAAGGUCAUGUAGUCAUGAAGUUAAGAGGCACGAAUAAGUUCUAAGAAAGGAGGGGGAAAAGUGCUUCAUUCAAAAUGCACAGAAAGCCCCUGUCAGCUUGUUGGAACAUGGUCCAUCUGAGGUUUUCAGGAGACCACCCCUUGUACCUGCCCCUGCAUAUAUCUCUCACUAAUUCUUAUUUUUUGCAUAUUUUUGUCAUGGUUUUUAUCAUGGAUUUUUCUGCACCAUUCAGUUUACAAAAUUUUCAAAAAGUUUGUUUUAUUUAUUUUACUUAUUCACACUUUAAAUACAAAAAAGGCAUUCAAGUUAUUCAAAUAUAAAACCAUGUGUGGAUGUGAUUUAAAAAAAAAAAAAAAACUAUGAAUGGCUUUAACUAAGAAAGAAAAUAAAACUAAGAGAGCACUAAGUUAAGGGAUGACUAAUAAUUUCUUAAAAAGAUAGUUACUGUCCCAAUAUACAUUCCUUUUUUUACAGCAGUUAUUUUCUCAUCUCUUUGGACACAAUCACUUAAAUACAAGUGCAAGUCAUAUUUAAACCAAAAGGGUAAAAUCUGAAUUAUGAAUCAUAACUUUACAGAUUUUCAGAUUGGAAUGAUGUAAAUGUCAAAAAUAUAAAAGCGCAGUAACUUGAGAAAAGAGGUGCAUCUGGCGCAUCAAUGGAAAAUAUAGCUAAUCUAAUAAAUUGAUUCUUGGUAUGCGCUAUUUCAGCUUUUCUGUAUCACUCUGCCAUUUUUACUCUCUAAAAAUCUGAAACAUGUGUCCAGUUGUGUUAAAGAAUAAUCUGUAUCCCUCCAUGUGUGCUCACUCCGGCUCUACUCUCAACCAAAUACCAGACUCCACAUUAUCUAGCACACCAGGUCCCAACGCCGUCAUUUCCCCUCUGAAUCCCUGGCAUCAGAUGCUGAGAUAUAUAUUCUUGAUAACAGAGACCUUGUCUGCCUUAAACCUUGUCCUGGCUGCACCUGGCAAAUGAUAAAAUGUAUGACUUCUCAGAUAAGCCCACAAGUAGAACAACACUGUCCAGGUGCAGAUUAUUGGCACGGUAUAAGCCCCGUCUUGGUAUGCAGAAGGAGGCAGAUCCUUCCGAUAGCUCUGCAAAGGGGAUUCAACUUCAGCACCUCGGCUUUAGAUGUAUUCCGCUGUUCUGAUCUCCUCAGACUAGUGUAAGGUCAGAGGUCAACAUAAGCGUACUUGCACUUCAGCUUGAGAUAUACUGUCAGGAUGUAAAGUUUUGAUCACUGUUAAUGCAGUUUUCUCAAAUAUCACAAAUGUCUGCGCACUCUGAAGUCUGUUAUUACAAAAGAAACCCCCCUCUCCACUCAGCUCACAGAGUGCAAGCUUUGCAGAUAUUUUGCCAGUAAAAAGGCUGGAUCACACAGUGUACAAGUCAGAAGUUUAACUCCACUUACAGCUCAACAAAGGUUAUAAAGUUACUUGUGGAUGAGGAGACCUUAACUGCCAUGAUAGGAAUUCUCAAAGCAUCCUUAAACAGAGGUACUGAUCUGGGAUCAUAACCUCUCAUCCAGUAAUUGGUGGUCCUGGUUCAGGGGCAUGGACACAGUCAGCACUCCUACCACUGAAUAAAGCUGUCUGAAGCUGUUCUGGCAGGCGGACUAAUCAGGCGUUACCAGCAGCCAAUCCAAGUGCAUUUUAAAGUGGAUGACAGAGGCAUCUUAAGUUCCCCUUACCUGCGGACGAAAGUAAUCAAUUUAAUGCAGUGGUUUAAGCCUGUAAAUAUGUGGCUGAAUGUCAGCUGCUGUAGUGUGACAAAUGCAGCAGUUUCAGGUUCAAUGAGUUCAGUGAGAGAGGUGAAAAGGUGUGCUAUUAACCCUUUGCUUUCACAUUAAUUAACAAAGUCCUGAAAACAUUUGCUCAUACAGUUCUUGGGGGAUAGAAAUGUAAAAUAAUGUUCUUUUCCUUUUACUAUUGGUGUAUAUACUUCACAAUGGAAAGCUGCCAAACAUAAAUUUCAUGUUUUCAAUUCAUUGAGCAGAAAAAACGAAGUUUGAAGUUAAUACAGACUACAGAAUCAAAAUGUAAAAAGACAUACCUAGGAACACAGAUGUCAUAUGAUAUGGUGUUGUUAAUAGUUAUCUGACAUUCAAGCCAGUCAGUAAGCAUUUACAGAUCAUCAUUUGCUGUUAGAGACUAUUUGUGUCUUUGUACAUGUGUUCACCAUGUGGCUGUCUGUGUCUCUUCCUGCCUUUAAGGUUAAAUAAGGAUACAGGAUGUUAACCUAAAGAAACAAUAACUUAAGAAUAAAGAAGGGUUUGGAUGUAAAUAAGUGGGUGGGGUACACCCAAAUCCAAACCAGAGACAGUUAUAUUUUUAUGUGUGCAACUCACAUGUUAAAUUUGACACUCUUUUUUUAGGCCCGCUUUGAUUUACAUUUCUGGUUAUGCAAGUAUGGCCGCACGCAUAUGUUUAUAAUAUGGCAAGGAAAAGUAUGUGCUUCACAGUGUGGUUACGCCUUGUAAAAGUCAAAGGUAAAAAGUGAUCGUUCAUCACAUUUUUAUCUAUUUAUUUAUUCCAGUCCAAGAAAAUUACAAGAAACACAAAGAAAACAUAUGAGUGUGGAAGACAAGUGAAACCCACGCCCAGAAAAUUCAUACUGUUGUGUAGAUGGAAUCUGUUUGUGUACUAAAGUGCAAAACUUUAGUUAAAUAAGAGAAAAAAUGAAGAUAAGCAUCAGGCGUUACCAUAUUAGAAUUUAUUAAUGGUUGUCAUAAACAGAAGAUAAAAAAUCUGAGCCUAACAUGUACAUCAUAGUUAAUGAAGAACACCCCGAACAAAUAGACUAAUUCUGUUAUGCUUCAAAGACGUACAUGAAGAUUCAACCUAUAUAAAAGAAUUGAGAUAUUUCCGUUUACUGCUGAAUUUCAAGAAAAAGGAGUGCAUUUGGUGCAACAGAGCUGGAAAAAAUAACUCAUCAAAUAAACUUUAAUCGCUAUAGUUAUAACCACGAUGGUGGGUCAUAGCUUUGACUGGCACAUUUGAAGCUAGCAUGAAAAAAUUGUCUAAAUUUUACUCUUUUUCAUGCAUUUUAAACCACCUGAUAGUUAAAGAAGCAUGUACUGAUCUAGAGAGGUAAGAGACAAAAUUGAAACUUUAAUAAGAUGUUAAUUAUAUUCCUUUAAUUUCUCAAAUAGGAUGUAUGAUGUGCAUUAAUAUUUUUUUUUUGGUGUGCAGACAGAGCCCCACCAUCCCUUGAAACCAAAUCCCCCUCCCACCCAAGCACACGGAUGCCCGGGACCAUCUCUCUUACCCCCGUCUCUCAACAGCUUUUGAGAGGUCUAAGUAUAAAAUAGCGAGGCGCACUAACAGUAUCUGUCCGUUGCAGGAUACAUAUAGAGGGUACGUGGGGAGGCUCAGGUAAGAACUUGCAUCAAUCUGUCACUCACUUCCCUCGGGGCGAUAAGAGAAAUUCCAACAGAGAGAUAACGCUGGACAUUCAACUUAAUUCCGAAGGAGGAACUUUUCAUCAGCAGGUCACAUAUUAGCUUUCAGAAAAACCCAGUGCUGCUAGUUCCUUUUUUUCCCUCCCCCCUUUUUUUGCUUGCAUUGCACAGCCCAGGCAUGAGGAUGACAUCUUGAACCCAAGUGCUUACAAUUCCAGAGCAGACAUGUACUUUUGAAAACAGGUCUUCCUAUAUUCUUUUCCUAUCACCAUGUUUCCUCACUUGAAAUAAACUUGUUAGAUAACACAGUGACCAGACCUUCAGCAGUGUUGGGCCAAAACAUUACAAACAGUGUGAGAAGUUUUGAGGUCAACCAAAUUCUCCUUCAGGCUCUGCUGGGCUUUCUGUCUGGAUUUUCUGCAUCUGUUUGUCGAUCUGAAAUAACACGUUGCAGAACAGAAGUUGUUUUGAUUGUCAUUUUUGCAGACGAGAAAUUGUUUUAGUCAGCUGCAGUAAAUCCAUGUCAUUUUGCAAGCUGUGGGAGCUAAGGCGUGGUGUUUUCAUAAAAACCAAAUCCAGAUUCCUGUAGAAGCAGUUGAAAUGCUUGCAGAGGAAAAAAAAAAAGAAGGAGGGGAGGAUAUUGGAUCACUAAUUUGGGCAUACAUGGCUUUGGUUAAAGUUCAAAAUGUCAACUAAAUUGAUUUCAUGAGGCGCAGCUGGCAGCAAAUUACGUGCUAAUCGUUCACAAAUCCUUCUUGGUCAUAGAUAUUAUCCACCAAACAUGGAAGUCCUCACAGCUGAGUGGUUGCUCUAAGCAUUUCAAUUGUAUAUCACAUUUCUUUCUCUUUUUAAUCUGUUUAUCAUUUUAGCUGGGGAAGAACAUAUUGCUUCCCAUUAAUGUUGUACUUUCUUACACUGCAGCAGCAAGCUUAAUAAACAGUAUGAUUCAAAGAGGCCGCAGCAUGUCAUCUUGUUGAAAACAUACUCUGCAGUGGAGAUAUCCUCCGAAUUUGAGGGCAAAUGCUGUUCUGCACAUAUAGAGAAACAUGUUUGACAUUUUGUUAUAUACAACAACAGAUAUAAAAGAAACGCAUUUUGGAGCAUACUUUAAGUCCCUUUUGCUGAGGCCUUGCACAUGAAAAUAAGGCACACAUAAGAAAACUGACAUGGUCAUGCAGAAGACAAGGCAUGCCAUACAGAGACAAUUGAUUAGCUUCGUAGCGCUGCAAUAGCCCUUACUCAGCUGGGGUGGCGUGUAAGUGCUAGUCUGGCUUUUUUUUUUUUUUUUUUGAAGGAUCAUAUGGAUCAAUACGACAUGGCACAUUUAGGAGACCCCUACACCAUACCCUGGGACUAGAAAAGCAAGAACAGAGCCCCUUGCUGCACCUUCCAUUUCUUUUUUUCUGCUGAUUGGAGGUGAGGGGGGUUGGAGAGGUGACAAUAAUAACCAACCCGAUACUCCUUACCCUUGUUCAAGUGCAUGACCAACCGAGAGGAUUUUCAGAUGGUGAAUCUUUUAUUUGGUAUUUAUGUGUGGCACUUGUCCCUCAGGCCGUUUAUUGUGAUAGUAAGUCAGGUAGGAAAUAUGACUGUUGACCCAGGGUUUUAACGGCUGUUUUUUUUUUUUUUUCCUGUUGGUUUUCUUGCAGGGCCUUAAACAAUCAAGAUGUCCCCCUGCAAACAAAGACUUAUGGGAAGGUGGGGAGGUGAGAUAAACACAAUUAAAGGUGACAGAGAAAAUAUACUGUUGUUGUUGAAGAUCCAUCAAUCAAUAUUAUUUUGGGAAGAAGGGCAAUGCAAUAAUUUACGAGAGAAGAAGUAGAAUUUCAGGUGAUGCUGGAACUUACUUUUUUUUUUUUUUGCAAAAAGUGACUAAAAUAAAUUACUCCAAAGUUUAGUUUGAAGAUAAAUUGUGGAAAAUAAGUUGGUUACAAAAACAGCACUGUUUCUUUUUUUUUUUUUUUGGUGGGAAAAAAUACAGUGAAAUGUGUUACUAACAACCCUCAAACUAUUUUAGCUCAUGCUGGGUCAUCUAAAUAGAAUGAAUAAGUCAUUGAGAGCUCAAAGCACAAAAGGGGGGUCCGCGAUUAAAAGGCCAUUGCACCAGUAAAAGCUGCUGGGGACUGAAAUUAGAGGUGGCACAGGGGUAAUACAUUUUCAUUGGGGUCACCACUUCUACAGAGGCCCCUCUAAUAUAUUUCUUUAUCUUUUCAGCUGUGUUAAAAACAGCUGUUUGGGGCUGUAACAGAUAAUUCAAGUAAAGAGUUUUUUUUGUCUGUGUGUGCUAGCAGGGAGACAAUGGAGGGCCAUCGAUUGGAG